rnacentral:rRNA from 1 species
UCAAAAACAUGUCUUUUUGAAAUUAAUUUAAAGUCUAAUCUGCCCACUGAUAAAUAUUAAAGGGCUGCAGUAUAUUGACUGUACAAAGGUAGCAUAAUCAUUAGUCUUUUAAUUGAAGACUUGUAUGAAAGAUUUGAUGAAAUAUAAACUGUCUCUAAAUUAUAAAUAAAAAUUAAUUUUUUAAUUAAAAAGUUAAAAUAAUAUUAAAAGACGAGAAGACCCUAUAAAGUUUUAUAAUUUAUUUAUUUAUUAUUAAUUAUAAAAAUAAAUAUAAUAAUUAAUAUAAAUUAUUAUAUUGGGGUGAUAGAAAAAUUAAAUAAACUUUUUUUUUAAAAAAAAACAUUUAUAAGUGAAAUAUUGAUCCAUUAUUAAUGAUUAAAAGAAAAAAUUACUUUAGGGAUAACAGCGUAAUAUUUUUUUUUAGUACAAAUAAAAAAAAAAGUUUGCGACCUCGAUGUUGGAUUAAGAUAAAAUUUAAAUGCAAAAGUUUAAAAUUUUGAUCUGUUCGAUCAUUAAAAUCUUACAUGAUCUGAGCU